rnacentral:rRNA from 1 species
UACAGGGGGUGCAAACGUUGCUCGGAAUCAUUGGGCGUAAAGCGCACGUAGGCGGUCUGUUAUGUCGGAUGUGAAAGCCCUUGGCUUAACUGAGGAAGUGCAUCCGAAACUGGCAGGCUAGAGUACUAAAGAGGGUCGCGGAAUUCCCGGUGUAGAGGUGAAAUUCGUAGAUAUCGGGAGGAACACCGGUGGCGAAGGCGGCGACCUGGGUAGAUACUGACGCUGAGGUGCGAAAGCGUGGGAGCGAACGAGG